GAGUUUGAUCCUGGCUCAGGACGAACGCUGGCGGCGCGCCUAACACAUGCAAGUCGAACGAGAGAUGAGGAGCUUGCUCUUCAAAUCGAGUGGCGAACGGGUGAGUAACGCGUGAGGAACCUGCCUCAAAGAGGGGGACAACAGUUGGAAACGACUGCUAAUACCGCAUAAGCCCACGGGUCGGCAUCGACCUGAGGGAAAAGGAGUGAUCCGCUUUGAGAUGGCCUCGCGUCUGAUUAGCUGGUUGGCAGGGUAACGGCCUACCAAGGCGACGAUCAGUAGCCGGUCUGAGAGGAUGAACGGCCACAUUGGAACUGAGACACGGUCCAAACUCCUACGGGAGGCAGCAGUGGGGAAUAUUGCACAAUGGGGGGAACCCUGAUGCAGCAACGCCGCGUGAGUGAAGAAGUAUUUCGGUAUGUAAAGCUCUAUCAGCAGGGAAGAUAAUGACGGUACCUGACUAAGAAGCUCCGGCUAAAUACGUGCCAGCCGCCGCGGUAAUUC
rnacentral:rRNA from 1 species